rnacentral:rRNA from 1 species
AACGAACGCUGGCGGCAGGCCUAACACAUGCAAGUCGAGCGCGCCCUUCGGGGUGAGCGGCGACGGGUUAGUAACGCGUGGGAAUAUACCCGACACUAAGGAAUAGCCUCUGGAAACGGAGAGUAAUACCUUAUACGCCCUUCGGGGGAAAGAUUUUAUCGGUGACGGAUUAGCCCGCGUUAGAUUAGAUAGUUGGUGGGGUAAUGGCCUACCAAGUCUACGAUCUAUAGCUGGUUUUAGAGGAUGAUCAGCAACACUGGGACUGAGACACGGCCCAGACUCCUACGGGAGGCAGCAGUGGGGAAUCUUGGACAAUGGGCGCAAGCCUGAUCCAGCCAUGCCGCGUGAGUGAUGAAGGCCUUAGGGUCGUAAAGCUCUUUCGCCAGAGAUGAUAAUGACAGUAUCAGGUAAAGAAACCCCGGCUAACUCCGUG